rnacentral:snRNA from 1 species
UAACUCUGGUGUCUCCUCAUUUGCGGAUAAAUCUUUCGCCUUUUGCUAAAGAUUUCCGUGGGGAGGCACAAUACAAUGAGUCUUAUCUCAUUUUUUCCAACUCCGUCUCGACCGUUGCU